AGGUUUAGAAGGUCUUGAAGGUGUAAAUGUUCCACUAGAUGUAGAUGAAGAUACUAUUACAAAUAUCAACGAGAAGCUCUAUAAGAUGGAAGAAUCAAUUCCUUCCUGGAUUUUAGAACAUGGAGAAUGGGUUUGGCACGGCGCCUUUGAUAGAUAUGGAACUCAUCGAGAUGUUAGAGAUAGAGUUCGAACUAGUUGGACAGAAGAUGAUCUAACUUCAAAUAUGGACGCUAGGGAUAA
rnacentral:misc_RNA from 1 species